UGAAGAGUUAAAUGCUAAAAAUGAAAUAGCGUGUUAAUAGGAUGCAGAGUGGGAGUAGAGGUAGAUGUGUUAUUCCUCUGCCUGGGUGAGCUGGGGCUGCCCCGAGAGGCCAUUGCAGCCCCAGGAAGCAGAACUCACUUGGAACACAGAAGAAGGUGGGGUGUUCUCAGAAACACGAAUGGUCCAGGACCCCACUUCAUCCUUUCUUACUCAUGCUGGUACAGGGAAGUACCAGCCACCAGCUUCUGCUGAAAUGAGGCAUCGCAGGCAGAGGAGGGAGGAAGCCGUGGGAAGUUUUCCGGAAAAGCAGAACCGGUUCCUAGAAAGGCUCUAAUGAACUUGAUGGAAGGUGAAUGAAUACCUGCACCACUCUAUUUUGGAGUCAUUUACCAAAUGCCACUACUGUCAAGAAACAGGCCAUCACAUCCUUCCUCUGCAUUCACGAAUAUCACCCUUCAGUAUCUUAAGACUUGCUAUUUGUCAUGAAACUCAUAUGUAAAUUCCUCUAUGGUUAUAUUAAGUAUACAUUUGAUUUUUGAAUUAAAAAAAUGAUCAAGGGCAUAUAUAGAUCAUCUUUGUCAGCACAUAGGAUUAAAGUUACUCAGCUUUUAUGAAGAGGCCCUGCAACAAACAUGGCAUGGAUUUCUGCAUAUAUAUCCAGCCAUUACUAAUUUCUGUGUCAAAGUGUUUAAAACUGUUAUAAAUGAUUAGAUGAUUCAGUGUAGAGUUCAGUUAAAAUUGCAGAACUAGAGGGGAGAGAUGGGAAGUGCCACACAAGGGUUAAGUCCCUCACCGCAAACACAGCCGUGUAGCAGACAUCAGAGUGACCCAGGCGGCUGGAGCACUUGGCUGGUCCACCACCCAGAGCUGGGAAGCUGUUUUCCUUGAGGACUCUACUCGGGAGAGAAGAAGACGUCACCUCUGUGUGUGUCUCUGAGACGACUUCAAGGGAUGUUUAGUGGGGAAAGAAUUUCCAGAGUAUGUUUUUUUUCAUCUCAUCUGAAAGACACAGUGGUUUUCAACUAGCUUGGUGCUGUUACGACAGUCAUUUCACCUGACCUCUUUUUUAAACAGGCCUAAGACAAGCCACUCUGCCAUCUAAGCAGAACUAAUGCUGUUACAAGAGCAUGCAAAUUGUAAUUAAAAAAAAAAAAAUCCAUAAGCCAGCAGUUUCUUUUGACCACAGUGGCUUUUUCCCUCCUGCUAGUUCUGCUGAAACAGCAGCGCUGCUGUGCACUAUAAGACUCCAGCUCUGUGCUCCAAUUUGUUGUUCCUCUGAUGAGAACUGCAUGUGAGGAUGCUUGGUUUUGUGUGUGAAGGGCCACACAUGCAGCAGGAUUUCAAGUCUCUGAGGACAGGGGCCCCUCCCUCCUUUACAUCACUUUUCGUUUAUAGGAUCCCACCCCAGGGCUGUCAUGGGGGCUGUGUUAUCGCCUGUUGAGUGGAUGUGUGGUUGAACAAAUGAGGGACUGAACAGAGAGCUCCAGUCUCCUGUGUUCUAAACCGAACAGUGCAAACUGGUCGGGAUCCGUUUCAAUCAAAGAGCAGGAUCUGUGAGAUGCAGAAAUAAAAAGAUGAGGAUACGAUUCCA
rnacentral:lncRNA from 1 species